CAAUAAAGCAUUCGGGCCGGAAGAGAAACAAAACCCUCCCAAACCCCAACCCCAAUCGCGAUCCCAAUCCCCCACACACAGCCGGGAGACAGAGGGAAAGCUGAAGGGCAAGGAAUCAUGUCGGGCUUUAACUUCCCAGCGUUCAAUUCCUCUUCAUCCGGCUCUUCAUCAUCUUCCCCCUUCUCUACAGCAUUUUCAUUUUCUCAAUCUCAGGGCUUCUCCUUGCCCAUCUCUUCUUCUUCCUCGCCAUUCUCAUCAACAACUCCUUCUUUCUCUCCCUUCCCCAACACCACCACCUCCGCUUCAUCGCAGCAAGCUUCAUCACGGUUUACUUUCGGAUCAACCUCUUCACCUUCUUCAUCUCUAUUUGGUUCUGCCGCUCCGUCCACUGGCGGCUUCUCAAUGGGGACAUCUCUCUUUGGUUCUUCGUCCUCUGCAGGUACUGCAGUCACAGCUCCUUCUUCUACUACGUCUAAUAUUUUCGGUGGAUCUCAGGCCUCUUCUGCCGCAAAAUUAUCUUUUCCAUUUGGUUCUUCUUCAUCAUCAUCGGGAUCAUCAACUUUGAGCCCUACCUUUGGAUUAACUUCUGGUUCUGCUUCUUCGGGUUCCACUGCUCCUUUGGGAUUUGGACUUCCUUCGAGUUUUGCAUCUGGAGCGAGUACCGGUUCGCCUCUGUUUGGUGUCGCUUCGUCGUCUUCGCCGUUCGGAGCUUCUUCAACAUCAGGUUCUACAGCGACUGCUGCCCCGGCCAGUUCUGCAUCUGGACCAAGUACCGGUUCGCCGUUCGGAUCUUCUUUUACUUCAGGUUCUGCUGCAACUGCUGCCCCGGCUUUCGCUGCUUCUACGAUGUUUGGAGCUUCCUCAACUGCUGCAGCUUCUACUGCUCCUUCUGCUUCGAUGUUUGGGGUUUCUUCAACUUCAGCUUCUAUGGGUAAUUCUACGCCGGCAUUUUCUUCCACUUUGCUUGGAGUUCCUUUACCAGCUUCCUCGUCUGCGGCUGCAACAAGCGUCUCUUCUUUUCCCAACCUGUAUUCUUCCAGUUCCAGUUUGUCUUCACCGUUUUCGGCCUCUUCCACACCCGUGACUCCGCCUGCUGCAACGUCAUCGACCUCGCCAAUUAUUUCUUUUGGAACUCAGGCUUCGUCUUCCUCCCAGUCUUCGUUUGGAUUUGGCAAUGCAGCAUCUAAUGCUGCGCCUACUUCUACAGUCUCUAGCACACAAGUCUCGAAGCCUCUUUCCUUUAGUUUUGCGACUUCCUCAAUAGUCGGUACCUCGGGCGUUUCAGUUACAACAGCGACUUCAACCCCUACGCCUUCUGCUUUAACAAGCUUGUUCUCUUCACAAGCUGCUGCCUCGUCCACUUCUACACCAACAGUUCCUGUUUUCGGGGUAAGCUCUUCAGCGGCGACUACAUCUUCAGCAUCAGUAGUUACUAGCGCGACUGCUUCCUCUGCUACUACGAGUCCUUUCCCAAGUUUUUCAUUGUCAGCCAAAACCUCAGCUCCAGCUACGUCUUCAGCUUCACAGCCUCAAUCAACAACCACUGCAGCAUUGGCAUUUGGCCUUUAUCUAUGUCGCCAGAUGACUGCUCAGAUGGAACAUGUUACCGGCCUCUACGAUGCUGAGUGUUGUACCCAUGUAAAUCUGCGGAAGGAGAAUAAGGCAGCUUUGGAAAGGGUGGAGCAACUGGAGUUUGAGAUGGUGAAGAUUCGAGAGAAAGUCGACCUGAUCUUGGCUAGGAGACUGUCUGAGGUCGAAGCGGAGGAGGCAGUGGCUAUAGUGGAGGUCCGAGCCGUGGCGGCAUAUAGGGCCUCUAAGGCCUUCAAAGAUGAUGUUGCUUUGGCAAGGGUGCCUGCUUAUGUCACAGGGGCUAAGGCUGUCCGAGAUUGGGUUCUUGAGCAUUCUCUUGACAUUAGCUUUGGGGAGUGUAAGAUCCCUUUCUCUCUUAUUGACGACGAAGAGGAAGAGCAAGAUGAUGAGGUAACUCUAGACGAGCUUGUUGGAGCCAAUGAUGGGGAGGAGGCCGGUGAAGUGAUUUUGAGAGAAUUUCCCUUGAGCUCUUGUCGAGAUUUGGAUAUGGAUCAAGAUCCCGCAGCAAAAGCGGUAGAAGAAGCAGGAGAAGAGGAAGGAUGAGCAGAUGAGUGCCUUUAACUUUGCUACUCCACGCGAGGGGAGUUCAGCUUGGGGCCAGUCUACUACCCUCUGCAUUCCCCAAGGUGACAUUACCAAUGAUACCAUACUUGGGGAUGUAAGGGUUGCCCAAGAAUUCUUGAUCGAUGGUCGGCUUCCUGAGGACAAGAAGCUAGUGAAAAAUCUGAUGAGUGGGACCUCUGCUUCAGCUGCUUAUAGCGCCAUGACCGAGGCCUUUAUCUGUGUUGUCAAGACGACUGCUCGGCUGGAACAUGUUACCGGCCUCUACGAUGCUAUGUGUCGUGCCCAUAUAAAUCAUUAGAAGGAGAAUAAGGCAGCUUUGGAAAGGGUGGUGCAACUGGAGUCUGAGAUGGUGAAGGUUCAGGAGAAAGUCGACCUGAUCUUGGCCACGAGACUGUCUGAGGCCGAAGCGGAGGAGGUAGUGGCUGCUGUGGAGGUCCGAGCUGUGGCGGCAUAUAGGGCCUCCAAGGCCUUCGAAGAUGACAUUGCUUUGGCCGGGGCUACUGCGUAUGUCACAGGGGCUAUGGCUGUCCAAGAUUGGGUUCUUGAGCAUUUUCCCGACGUUAGCUUUGGGGAGUGUAAGGUCCCUUUCUCUCUUAUCGACGACGAAGAGGAAGAGCAAGAACAAUAUGACGAGGAAACUCUAGACGAGCUUGCUAGAGCUAGUGACGGGGAGAAGGAGGCCAAUGAAGUGAUUUCAAGAGAACUUCCCUUGACCCCUUGCCAAGAUUUGGAUAUGGGUCAGGAGACCGAGGAGGUGCCUCAGGAUGAUCAAUGAUUUCACUUUUUUCUUUUCUUUCCCCCUUUCUUUUUUGUGAUGGCCUUGAAGCCCUCUUUUUGUUAUCAACUUAUUUGAUUUAAUGAAGGGCCUUCUCCUUUUGAUGA